rnacentral:lncRNA from 1 species
CGCCUGCGUGCUGAGCCGCCUCUUAAUAUUCUUAAUGAUGUUUGAACAAAGGGCUCAGCAUUUUCAUUCAGCAAUGGGCCUCACAAAUUAUACAGCUGGUUCUGCACCAGGGAGGCUCUUCCAGAUCUCCUCCAGAUGGUCUCGUCCACUCCCCGCCCACCCCCCGCCCUCAGGAUGACUCUUCUCAGGAUGGAACCUCUUGAGGAAGGGAUGCCACGUCAGGGCAGCAGAGUCUUAAGGUUGGACGGUGUCCACAUGAUGGCAUGGAGGUGGGUGGGCCUGAAGCCUGGUCUCUGUGGAGAAGCUGUUUUAGCGCUGCCUGCCUGGCAGUGCAGUGAGCUGUGCAUUGCCCCUCCCUGCAGGCUUCCCAUAGGCUGUAACUGUCACCCUCCAAAUUGGCCUCAGCACUGAGGAAGAGGAGAGUUAGUGGAAAGAGCUCAGACUUGGAGUUGGAAAACCUGUGUGUGAGCCUCAGUUUUCAUUCCUGUAGGAAAGGGUUGAUAAUUCCUUCUCUACCACAUUCUCAAACUAAGCAAACUAUGUGCAAAAGCCCUUAACCAGCCGGCUGUAAAACCCACAGGGACACUGGUUUGUGUGGAAGGAGGGGCAGAGGUGUGGGAUAGGAGGAAGGGCACUGAACCAGGAGUCAGGAGACCUGAGGCUUGGCCAUACACAGUGGAGGAGCCUCUAUUUCCUUGUCUGCUCAAAGACGAAUAAUACAUAUUGCCUUUUCUACUACUGGCUGCAUGAGAGGUUAUGAUACAGAUGAAUAUAGCCCCUGAAGAGGCUGCAAAGGAGGAGGCAGCUGUUUUGAAAAAAAAUUAAAAGAAUCCCAAAUAAGUUCAGGGUAAAAUAAAUACAACUUUGCAGAAGAGUUUAUAAUGAGAAGCAACCGUACCCAUCCCCAGACCGCAUUGCUAGGGCCAACCCUUGUCUCAAAGUUCCAAAUACUAGUUUUUCUGACAUUUACUUCAACAAACCCUCAGUAAUAUGUGUACACUGCUAUCUCUAGAUUUAAAAGGUUCAG